GGCAUAACUCAGUGGUAGAGUGUGUGCUUAGCAUGCACAAGGUCCUGGGUUCAAUCCCCAGUACC
rnacentral:tRNA from 1 species